UUGGCGGUGCGGUGAAUUUGGAGGAGGGACUUAGAAACUGAAGGAGGCUCUCCAAAUCUUGAAUUCUCCUUCCCCUUCUUCCCCUACUGUCCUAAGACCUUCACUUUGUUUUGCUCCCAACCCCACUCCUCCUCGGUCUUUCCUCUCAUUUAUGUAUCCAAGAACGACGCCGACUCUAAAUCACUCUAUGUCAAUUUGGAUGAUAAUGUGAGUCACCAGAAAGAAAGGUUCUUUUUGGUUUUCCAUACCUCAGAUUGAGUUAGAUGAGCUGGAAAGUGUUUCCAUUCUGUCAAUGACCCUUGCAUGGGAUGAAUUUUCCUUCUCUACUUUUCAAGAAGCCCAUUAUUCGCUUCAAGAUUCUCUAGACCAGUUUUUACACCUUUGUGAAUGAAAAAAGGGAAUCUUUCAUUAUGGUUUGGUUGGGCCUUUCUCUUUGUUUUCUAUAAUCUAGAGGAUCCUUAUCUUCUUGGGUUCUGAAAAAAUAAAAACAUCAACUCCCUCCUGUAUUUAUGCUUGAUGUUAUUUCCUACGGUGUGGGUUAUGUGUCAUGUCUGGUCUACGAUUGACACAUGUAAAUCCAAAUGCACUAGAGCUGCUCUCAAAAAUCUCAAUUUGGUAGAAGAUAGAUAUAUUCCAAGGGUACAAGCUCAUUUCUUUCCUAAGAAUAUGUAAGUUUUACUUGCAACUAGUUGUUACUUCCCUGAAUUCCUUGUCCAAAAGUCAAUGAUGAAUGUAACCAUGGUUUUCUUGAACUGAGAAGCAUAUUGGGUCAACAUUUUGUCUGAGUUAGUGUGUAAAGCAAAAGAACUAGUGCAAGCAUACAAGCUUCAAAAUGUAGUUAAGACUGCAGACAACUUCUGUUCAUGUUUGAAGCUUGAUAGAAACACAGAUGUUAGCUAUAGUAAUAUGAGGAAGGCUGCUUCUUGGGAAGAUUUGACUGACAACUAUUUAUUCUG